ensembl:snRNA U6 U6 spliceosomal RNA
GUGUUCGCUUCGGCAGCACAUAUACUAAAAUUGGAAUGAUUCAGAAAAGAUUAGCAUGGCCCCUGAACAAUGAUGACACAAAAAUUUGUGAAGUGUUCCAUAUUUUU